rnacentral:rRNA from 1 species
CAGCCGCCGCGGUAAUACGUAGGUGGCGAGCGUUGUCCGGAAUUAUUGGGCGUAAAGGGAGCGCAGGCGGACAUAUAAGUCCAUCUUAAAAGUGCGGGGCUCAACCCCGUGAGGGGAUGGAAACUGUAUGCCUUGAGUACAGGAGAGGAAAGCGGAAUUCCCAGUGUAGCGGUGAAAUGCGUAGAUAUUGGGAGGAACACCAGUGGCGAAGGCGGCUUUCUGGACUGUAACUGACGCUGAGGCUCGAAAGCCAGGGGAGCGAACGGGAUUAGAUACCCCAGUAGUCCCUGUCUCUUAUACA